rnacentral:rRNA from 1 species
UAUCAAAACAUGGUUUGAUGUAAUUAUGAUAUUAAAUUAAACCUGCCCCAAUGAAAUUUUAAAUGGCUGCAGUAUUUUAACUGUACAAAGGUAGCAUAAUCAAUAGUUUUUUAAUUGGAAGCUAGAAUGAAUGGUUUAAUGAAAUAAUAACUUUAUUAUUAUAAUAAGUUGAAUUUUAUUUUUUAGUAAAAAAGCUGAAAUUUGUAUAUUAGACGAGAAGACCCUAUAGAUUUUUAUAUAAUUGGAUAAAUAAGUAAUUUAAGAAUUUUUAAUAUUGAAUUAAUUUAAUUUAUUUUAUUGGGGGGAUAGUAAAAUUUACUUAAUUUUUAUUAUAUGUGUAUAACCAUUAAUAUAUGAAUAUAUGAUCCAUAAUAAUAUGAUUAAAAAAUUAAAAUACCUUAGGGAUAACAGCAUAAUUUAUUUGGAAAGUUCUUAUUGAUAAAUAAGGUUAUGACCUCGAUGUUGGAUUAAGAUAAAUUUUAGGGGUAGAAAUUUAAAUAUUGAGUCUGUUCGACUUUUAAAAUCUACAUGAUCUGAGUU